UACGUAGGGGGGCUAGCGUUGUCCGGAUUUAUUGGGCGUAAAGAGCGUGUAGGCGGCCAGGUAGGUCUGGUGCGAAAACUCGAGGCUUAACCUCGAGAUGUCAUCGGAAACCAUCUGGCUAGAGUCCGGAAGAGGAGAGUGGAAUUCCUGGUGUAGCGGUGAAAUGCGCAGAUAUCAGGAAGAACACCAAUGGCGAAAGCAGCUCUCUGGGACGGUACUGACGCUGAGACGCGAAAGCGUGGGGAGCGAACAGG
rnacentral:rRNA from 1 species